rnacentral:lncRNA from 1 species
GUCCGAUUAACAUAUGUGCACACAAUUCGCGGAUUGAGAGAAUUAUUUUUUUUUAACCGAGAGACACUUUACGUGAAACGAAGUGCAUCAUCGAAAUACGCAAACUACUUCGACAGCGCGUUCUUAAUCAUAAAUAAAUAUAGCGAGAUACUCCAAUCCUAGGAAGAAUGACCAUGUUUGCAUCUAACGCCCCUGGCGAGGUCAUAGACGCUAUAAGGCCGGAUCUGGAGGCAUUCACAUCGCUGUGGACAGCUCUGAGGGUGAAUUACGAGGGCACGAAUAUCACGAGGACCGUAGCUCGUCUGCUCCACAUGUAUCAGCCCG